rnacentral:piRNA from 1 species
UAUCACGUGAUGCUUGGUUCGCGUCCCGC